CUGGGCCGCCUGCAGCGGAGCGCGCGAACUUAACCACUCGGCCACGGGACCAGCCCCGAUCUUUUCCUAUUCUUAUAUUUCAUUUUUUAAAGAAAUAAAUGGACCAUCUAAACGUUAAAAUUUAUCUUAAUACAUCCUACAGAAAACGUGCCUGCUUCUAGAGCUCCAAGACAAUCUGCACACAGAAGACAGUAACAACCGCUGUGGAUCACAAGGGGCAGCAGUGAUCAUCCAUGUCCUGGAUGUCUCCUGACUUGGACUGGCAGUACCACAUUAAGUUUGUUCACAGAACAAUGCUUUGGCUGUGAUGUCCUGAGCAAGGAAUGACCUGCAUCAGGGAUGGAACAAGUGCAGCAGAGACAGGCC
rnacentral:lncRNA from 1 species